rnacentral:lncRNA from 1 species
CUCCACUGGACUCCUAUGAAUACCAUAAAAUUAUGAACGAUAUGAGGUCCCCUCAACUCUGAGUGCUAAUAUGGCAUCCAGAGGCGAGGGGCCAAAAGUAUUUUCUGGCGACGGCUGCUCUUCCUCAAACCCUAGCUCUCGGUCCUCAUAAUACAAGUCGGUAAGGCCAAUGCCUAGGGGCUAGGAAAUAUUCUAACACCCUUGUACCUUCAUGGAUGGUCGGUUCGGCUAGUUGCUUGAAUGCUAUAUAUCUUUUAUAAUUAUCGUGAAGCAGAGUGAUCAAUAACUCUACAAUCAUACGGGGAUGACAUGUUUGUUCUUUGAUCGAGCGGUUUUUAGAAGGCUUUGGGGGAGCGGUUUUGUGAACCUUCUAGCGGUUUUAGGAAGGUUCCAAAUUGUUUUUUUCAACCAAUUCUAUUUGUUUCUUUAAAUUCC